GGCGCCCGCCUUGCUCCGCGGCCCCCGUGCCGGCUCCUGCUUCCCAGGCUGCUGCGGGGACGCAGAAUCCUCUGGUGCUCAUGCAAAGGUGGCCCGGCUCCUGCGAGGCUGGUCUGCUGAGUCGCCGGGCUCCACGGCCGCCCGCGCUCGCUCCCGGAGCCAAAGCUCAGCCGGAGUCCCGGGGAGAUCCGAGCCGCGGCUGAAGGAGCUAGCCCGGCCUGGCGGGAGGCGGUGGGGUCGACUGCUCACUGCGAAGCUACCUCCAUGCGACCCUCCCCUUCCCGCCCCUUUCCCUCCCCCCACCAGACCGGUCUGGGUUCUUGGGCGCUUAUUGUUUUAAUGAUUUUUUGGUGGUGGUUAUUGUUUUGGUCCUUGAACGUGAUUUUAGCGGCAAGUAACGCGUCCUGCUCCUCUUGGGCUCUCUCCGAAGGUUUUCAGAGAGACUUCAGUGCAUCCAUUUUCCCAGCUCCUCUCCUUUCGGGGGAAGGAUCUAGGGCCCUGUAGGCGCCUUGGGACGCGAAGUCGGCGGGUCGCGCUCUCGGAAGGGUCUGCGCAGCGGCGGCUGAGGGGGCUCCCGGGUGGCGGCGGCGGCGGCGUUCCGGGGCUGGACUCCGUGAGGGGAGCAAGCGAUUUUUCCCAGCAAGAUCUCCAUGUACAGCUACAUCUUUAGGGCAGCUCGGGUUAAUAUAUGUCGUCAGAGGCUCCGCACGCCAAUCCGGGGGCGGCGGGGGCGGCGCCUCGCGCUCUCCGCAAUAAAACUUUUUUGAUGUUCAAGUUGCUAAUUGCCCAGGUCCUCUUUCGGGAUUGGCUGCCCCUUCAUAACCAGAAGAUAAUUAAACCGGGGCGGGGGGGGGGGGUAGGGUUAAAAAAACUUUUUUAUCAGUUAGAGGUUAAUGCAAGUGUUUAACAGAUGCUUCACUAUUAAAAAUUUCCCCCCAGUCUCAAAUAUUGAGGUAUCUCCUGCCAGGUACAGUAUCACUCCUCUUUCUUUUCUGGUUAAAAAAAAUUAAUUGCUUUUCGAAGUGUUUUCCAGGUAACCAAGGCAAGAGAAUGAGCAAGCAGUCUCGUGUGAGGCCCGCGAACAGAGUCGGUAGGCGGCGGGGCCCCCACAAAGGGGCGCCUGGGCAGCGGGCUGUCUCCUCGCCAAGGCCCGCCCGGGGCAGGCGGCGAAGGCUGCUGCUUUGACCUGGGCACAAGCUGGAGACGCAGCUCUCCACGGCUAUUUACUGACCCAGGCCGGGACGGCCUGGGGUGGCUGCUGUGCUGGGACCUCCGCCCCAGCGGAGACUUUGGGCGAUUUCAAAGCGCCGGUACUUUGGUUGCCAGAAUCAGUGAUGUGGCCGAUAUCGGUGUUCCCAUGGUUUAACUAGCCUGUUUGCCGCCGGAAGACCAGCCAGACGGCGAUGGAGCCACCUGGCCAGACGCACCCUCCGCGCGGCGGAGGGCACCGCCCGCCUCGCCUCCAGCGUCGCAUGGGACCUCAGCCCCCCAGGCCGGUGGGCGCCGGGCACCGAGGCGCGCGCGGGCCUGCGGGCGGAGGCGCGGCGGGGGCGGCCACCCCGAUCCAGGCCGCCGGCGCCCAGUCACGCGGUGCCGCCCCUCCGUGCCGGGGACGUUCUCCUUUAGAUCGCCGCGCCCCUCUCCAUUCUCGCUCCCCGUCACUCAGGCCGGGGGAGGUCACCCCUCCGGGGCGGGAUGGAAGCCAGCUUCCCCCGCUCCUCUCCGAGGCCCUUUCGCCCGAGGCGGGCGGGAAGGGGUUAAGCGCGCCCCCCGCGCCCCCAGCGCAGGCCGAAGGCCCCGGCUUUCCUCCUGAGGUCUCAUUAGGGAAACCCUCACCGCUAUUUUCAACAUUUCCUCAAUCAAGUGCCUUUAAAUAGAGCUGUACACACAAAUUGGCGGCAAAAGCGUAGAUCUUGUCACGAUUGAGACCAAUCCAAUAUUUCAGCCUUGUUUGCUUUGCAAUUACGGGUUGGCUUGUGGCGGCGGUGCCACCGGGGCAAAUCCGCAGCCGCCCGCUUUCUCCUCGGCACCCUGGGAGGCUGGAGGAAGCGACCCGAGGAGCCACUGAAGC